rnacentral:rRNA from 1 species
GGAGGGGGCGAGCGUUAUUCGGAUUUACUGGGCGUAAAGCGCACGUAGGCGGCUAGGGUGUGUCAAAGGUGAAAGCCCUCGACUCAACCGAGGAACUGCCUUUGAAACUGCUUGGCUUGAGUCCCGGGAGAGGGGAGCGGAAUUCCCAGUGUAGCGGUGAAAUGCGUAGAUACUGGGAGGAACACCGGUGGCGAAGGCGGCUCCCUGGACCGGCACUGACGCUGAGGUGCGAAAGCGUGAGUAGCAAACAGGAUUAGAUACCCUGGUGGUCCACGCCGUAAACGAUGGGCACUAGGUGCAGCGGGUGUCGACCCCUGCUGUGCCGAAGCUAACGCAUUAAGUGCCCCGCCUGGGGAGUACGGUCGCAAAGGCUG